GAAAAUGUACAUGCCUGGCUGCCAGCCAGACCCCCUGGAUCAGGCUCUCGGGAGGUGGGGCCCAGGAAUCUGCAUUUUCAGCAAGUUGCCUAGGUGAUUCUGAUGC
rnacentral:miRNA from 1 species